UACGAAGGUCCCAAGCGUUAUCCGGAUUUAUUGGGUUUAAAGGGUGCGUAGGCGGGCUAUUAAGUCAGUGGUGAAAGCCCCAAGCUUAACUUGGGAACUGCCAUUGAUACUGAUGGUCUUGAGUACAUUUGAGGUGGGCGGAAUGUGUCAUGUAGCGGUGAAAUGCUUAGAUAUGACACAGAACACCGAUUGCGAAGGCAGCUCACUAAGCCAUAACUGACGCUGAUGCACGAAAGCGUGGGGAGCAAACAGG
rnacentral:rRNA from 1 species